GACGAACGCUGGCGGCGUGCUUAACACAUGCAAGUCGAACGGAAAGGCCCUGCUUUUGUGGGGUGCUCGAGUGGCGAACGGGUGAGUAACACGUGAGUAACCUGCCCUUGACUUUGGGAUAACUUCAGGCAACUGGGGCUAAUACCGGAUAGGUGCUCCUGCUGCAUGGUGGGGGUUGGAAAGUUUCGGCGGUUGGGGAUGGACUCGCGGCUUAUCAGCUUGUUGGUGGGGUAGUGGCUUACCCAGGCUUUGACGGAUAGCCGGCCUGGGAGGGUGACCGGCCACAUUGGGACUGAGAUACGGCCCAGACUGCUACGGUAGGCAGCAGUGGAGAAUAUUGCACAGUGGGCGGAAGCCUGAUGCGACAGCGCCGCGUGCGGGAUGACGGCCUUCGGGUUGUAAACCGCUUUCGCCUGUGACGAAGCGUGAGUGACGGUAAUGGGUAAAGAAGCACCGGCUAACUACGUG
rnacentral:rRNA from 1 species